UGAAAAAAUCAAGUGUUUUUAAUAUUACUCCAUUAUCAAAUGUCAAUGCAAAAAUAAAUGUAUCCCUCUGCAGUAAUUAAUUGUUGGCUGAGCGGUAGACACUUAAGCCCUUUGCCUAUCCACAUGGUUUUGGUCCUUUCCACGCUGCUGAUGCCUUUGAAAUUUCGAAUAUUAACAUUUGUAAAACCUUUAAAAAAAAAAAUCAAACAUCUGGAAGACUUUGGUGGGCUGCGAGUUACGGAUUGGGUGGAAAAGUUGGGCACAUGAUGUCUCGUGGAGUCACGUGAUAGGGCCUGUAAAUGGCAGAAAGAGG
rnacentral:lncRNA from 1 species